CAGUGGGAAACUGCGGAAGGUUCUUUUACAACAGAUUUCUCUAGGACAAAAUUAAGCACAAAUGAGAGUGCUUUGAAAAACAAAUUAUAUAUUGAUGAAGAAGCGGUGCAGCCUUGGACUGCGAUUAGAUGCACUUAGUGGAACAGAAGGAGUACCCUGCUGUCAUGGUAAAAGACUAGGUAUGUACAGUGAGCUGCAAUGAUUCUCAGGUUUUCUUCAGCCACAGAAAGCAUUUGCCUAACCCGGCUGCAACAAGAAGAAGCCCCCUGUAGAGAGAUGCCAUUCAGCUUGUACUUUGGCUCAGGGGAAUCUUUUCAUUCCUGUUACACGAGUGCAGUUUUACAGACCUUCACAGAAAAUAGUCUGUUCUGAUGUGGCCUAUUUACAUCAUAAAAUGGGAAGUCACGGUGGUUUUAUAUACAUUUGUCUGUACUUCAUCUUAUGGAAGAGCCUGCCAGAGGUUUCAUUUUGUUACAUUUUCUUUUCUAGAUGAGGUGCCAGAAACUGGGCCCAGAAGCUGAGGCUCUCAGUUUGCUGGCAGAAGGAACUCUUGUUAGACAUAAGGACAGUAAAAUACAUUAGUUUGCUAAGUGGAAGGGGAAAAGAGAGCAAAAAUGAGGGGCUGGAUGAAAUGGAAUGGGAAAAGGAAUCAGUGAACUAAUUUGUUACUGAGGAGAUUUGGUGCCCGCCGCACCCACAGUGUGCCAGCUACCAGUCACGGGGGAAUCAGAUUGUCAUCUGCAAUAUGGUAAAUUGCUUUUGAAGGGGCUCCCCAAAAGCACUUUAAAACCUGGCAGACUAUGAAGGACUUAGCGCUCAUGAAGUUCAAGGCCACCUCAAAUCUUUUGCCUGGUCAGACUUGCCUUCUCCUACCCAGAUUUUCAGGUCAGGUAUAACUGUUUUGAGGGUGGGGUCUGCUCAAUGGGAAAACACAAAGCACAAACCAAAUGUAAACUAUAAAAAACCAGUUGGUCUUGUUCCAUCCAAAACAUGUACAAGGAGGUAGCUCUUCUUUACUCAGGGAAAAUGAAGCGUCAUUUAGCAGGGUCCUACCAAGUGCCCUAUAGUG